GCAGAAAGUAGAAAGACCGUGGCAGUUAAGAAUAAGUGGUCACUGCAGUGUCUUCUCCCUUCAAAAGAUCCAACUGAUGCUGAGGUAGAAAUUGAAUGUCAGCGCCCCCUAAUCCUCCUCUGCAGACUCUUGCGAGGAUGUCUCUUCGGUCUCCUGCAACACACGGAAGGCAGGUCACUACAGUAUACCACUCAGUAAAGUAUGCCUCAGAGCCCGUCUGUGCUACACAACCGAACUCCCAUUCAUUAGUGUCUGAAACACUUCAGCUGUGAAGACCGAGGGGAAUGUAAAUCCCAGGAAUAAACACACAUACAAAUGAAUGGAUCACAGCUUCAGAAGCAGAAUGGCAGCGGCAUCCAGUCACGGGAGUUCACACCGACUUUGUUUAGUCUGCUUUUGGUUUUGUGGGAAAUGUGGAACGCAUGAAGCUACCUCCCUUCGCCUCCCAGGCCCCGCCACACUGUGGGCUUCACAUCUUGACGAGGCAACAGGCCAUGACCCUGAGAUUCUCUGCGGAGUCCUGGUUAGAAAGGAGGAUGUAGCAUGAUCAAAGCCAUGGGCAGGCGAAUGAGAGACAAGCCGAGGACCCAGCGACCUCUGACCCUGUCUUUUCACUUAAUAUUUAAAUUCCUGAAAGUCACUAAAAUGUUUGGCAGAUCCCUCCUUUGUCCCCUCCCAAAGGACUCACUUCCCCUUAUGACAGGCGAUACGGACUCACUUUAGGUUGCUCCUCUGGAAGAGACCACAGCAGAGGAGUGGGUAGCUGUGUCCCACCUCACCCUCGCACAGUGAGCAGAUUUAAUAGGAUGAAGUCAAGCUGAAACCACCCCUGGAUGGAGCUAUGAUUAUUCCGUUUCUAUCAGCUUGAUAGUCUUCUUUCUAGAAACCUAAGUACUUGAAGAUUGGGAAGGAACUGGGAUUUCUCAGCUUAUGGGAGACCUUGGACCAGAUGGAAUGUGACCAGCCUUGCGGAAGGUUCCCGGAAGCCUUGCUGAAUGUUGUCUGUCAUGUAAACAGCCUUGAAAACCACCCUUGAAGUUUCUGUGAAAACAUUCAACAUCUUGGAAGGGCUGAGUGCCACAGGACAACGGGGGUUUCCCAGGAUUCCCUCGUCCCUGUGCCACACCACACAUGGAAGAUCCCCACAGGUGAGGAGGGAAAGUCAUAUGGUAAUAUUUGAGAUAUUAUAACUGGAUUUACAAUCACCAUGGAAACACACCCCUGGCUGUGUGUGUGUGUCUGUGAAAAUGUUUCCGGAAAAGGUUUAGCCAGAGAGAAGACCCGCCCUCGAAGUUGCCAACAGCAGCAUCCCACUGUCUGUGUUCCAGACUGAAGAAAACAGGAGUAUGGAAGCUGAGCAACCACCAUCACCUCUCUCUGCUUCCAAACAGAGUGAGUAAAGUGGCCAGCUGCCUCGGGCUCCUGCCGCCCUAGUUUCCCCAGCCACUACAAACUGUGUGUCCUUGAACCGUAAGCCCACCUACAUCCUUUCUGCCUUAAUCUGUCAACUCUUUUGUAACAAGAUCGGGAAAACAACUCCUAUGACGUCAACAGUUAACUGUUUUGUAUGCCAAGCAGUACUUCCCCAACUUACUUAUCUGGAUGCUCAUUGGUUGGUGUCUACUUGGGCUGUUUCCACCUCUUGGCUACUGAGAGCAUCUCCUGUGAGCUUUCAUGGACAUAUUCCACCACGGAUGAAGAUGCUGGCCUUCUCUACGGAUGCUGUACAGGUCCCCGAACAGCCCAUCCAUCUCUAUCUUCCCACUGUUCUCCCCUCACUCCCAUGGCUCCCUACUAAGGAAAUUCAUACAUUUCUUGCCUUUAA